AUUGAACGCUGGCGGCAGGCCUAACACAUGCAAGUCGAGCGGAUGAAGGGAGCUUGCUCCUGGAUUCAGCGGCGGACGGGUGAGUAAUGCCUAGGAAUCUGCCUGGUAGUGGGGGAUAACGUCCUGAAACGGGCGCUAAUACCGCAUACGUCCUGAGGGUGAAAGUGGGGGAUCUUCGGACCUCACGCUAUCAGAUGAGCCUAUGUCGGAUUAGCUAGUUGGUGGGGUAAAGGCCUACCAAGGCGACGAUCCGUAACUGGUCUGAGAGGAUGAUCAGUCACACUGGAACUGAGACACGGUCCAGACUCCUACGGGAGGCAGCAGUGGGGAAUAUUGGACAAUGGGCGAAAGCCUGAUCCAGCCAUGCCGAGUGUGUGAAGAAGGUCUUCGGAUUGUAAAGCACUUUAAGUUGGGAGGAAGGGCAGUAAGUUAAUACCUUGCUGUUUUGACGUUACCAAAAGAAUAAGCACCGGCUAACUACGUG
rnacentral:rRNA from 1 species